rnacentral:rRNA from 1 species
UAGCGUAUAUUAAAGUUGUUGCGGUAAAAAAGCUCGUAGUUGGAUUUCUGUUGAGAGCGACCGGUCCAUACCAUGUAUGCGUAUCUGGCUUGCUCUCGGCAUCCUCUCGAUAGACGUUGCUGCGCUUGAUUGCGUGGCGCGGAUCUCGGGACUUUUACUUUGAGGAAAUUAGAGUGUUCACGGCAGGCUUUCGCCAGAAUACAUUAGCAUGGAAUAAUACUAUAGGAUCUUGGUUCUAUUUUGUUGGUUUCUAGAAUUGAGAUAAUGAUUAAUAGGGACAAUUGGGGGCAUUCGUAUCAACACGUC